GCUGGGCAUGGUGGUGCAUUCCUGCAGUCCCAGCUACCUGGGAGGCUGAGGCAGGAGAAUCACUUGAACCCAGGAGGCAGAGGUGGCAGUAAGCUGAAAUUGCACCACUGCACUUCAGCCUGGGUUACAAAGUGAGACUCUGUCUCAA
ensembl:misc_RNA Metazoa_SRP Metazoan signal recognition particle RNA